CGGAAGUUUUCGCCAUCAUUCGUCGAAUGUCGCCGUUUCAGCAUUGGCAUUUCAGGCUGAGGUGACAGUGUGAAGACGCAACCAACGUACGAUCGUUGUUCGUCGCUAUGGAAGCCGCUCAGAAGGAACAGCAUCGCACGAACCGCGAAGGAGAAUCCACCGAGUCUUUGUUGCAGCUUGAGAAACCGGCCCUUGUGGAGCGAAUCCGAAAGCUGGAAAUGCACGUGCAACAGUUACAGAACCUGCUGCAGUCCAAGGACAAACCACAGAAGGCACGGUCAGGCAAGCCAUUCGACUUCACCCGAUUCAAGCGCCGGCACGUGGCACUGCGCCUUCUCUACCUGGGCUGGGACUACAACGGGUAUGUGCUGCAGGAGGAUACCGGCCGAACCGUGGAGGCGGCGCUGUUUGACGCUCUCGAGCACACCCGCCUACUCGAGGAUCGCGCCACUUCGCACUACCACCGAUGUGGACGUACCGACAAAGGUGUCUCCGCCUUCUCCCAGGUAAUCUCCAUUGACCUGAGAACCAAUCUUACCGAAGGUGUCGGGGUCUUUGCUCAGGAAGGCUACCAGCCAAGUGCAAGUGAAGCGUCCCAGAGGAAGGAGCUCGACUAUGUCAAGAUAAUCAAUGGUGUCCUGCCACCGGAAAUUCGCGUGUUGGCCUGGGCCCCUGUCGACCAAGCCUUCAGUGCACGCUUCGACUGCCGUCAGCGGACAUACCGGUAUUUCUUCCCUCGCGGCAAUCUGGAUGUCGAGAAAAUGUGGGAGGGUGCCUCGCUCCUGGUAGGCGAGCACGACUUCCGGAAUCUGUGCAAAAUGGACGUGGCCAACGGUGUGACCAACUACACGCGGCGCAUCCUUCGUACCAGCAUAUUCCAGUGGCCACCGUCAAAGCCACCGUCAAAGCCACCGCUUGUUGCUUCGCCUGCUGGUGAAGAUGACUCACACACUACCACAUUCCACAAGGAUGGCAUUCGCGGAAGACAGCUACGACCUGUUGUGCUUAGAGAUAGUGGGUCAGGCCUUCUUGUGGCACCAGGUGCGAUGCAUCGUGGCCGUGCUUCUGCUUAUCGGUCAGCGGCUCGAGGAACCACAGGUCAUAUCAGAGCUGCUGGAUGUUGCCAAAAACCCUUGCAAGCCACAGUAUGCCAUCGCAUCAGAGCUUCCCUUGGUCCUGUACGACUGCCAGUUCGAAGGACUGGAGUGGCAGCAGAGCAGUGCGGAGGCAGAGGCUGUUGCCACGCAUCUGCAGGCACUGUGGACACAAGCCAGAAUUAAGAGUGCAGUGAUGGAGAGCAUGCUGGCCACCCUGCCCGAUGUUCGGAGUCAACCUCGCUGCCUACUGGCACGUGUUGCACGGAACCACAAACCACUUCUUGAAAGGCCCCUGUGUGGAAGCUUGGAAGAACGCAUGGCGGCACAUGCCAAGCGGCGGAAAAUUUGCACAGAUGACCA
rnacentral:misc_RNA from 1 species